rnacentral:rRNA from 1 species
UACGUAGGGGGCAAGCGUUGUCCGGAAUCAUUGGGCGUAAAGCGCGCGUAGGCGGCCCUGUAAGUCCGUUGUGAAAGUCAAAGGCUCAACCUUUGAAAGCCGAUGGAUACUGCAGGGCUAGAGUCCGGAAGAGGCGACUGGAAUUCCUGGUGUAGCGGUGAAAUGCGCAGAUAUCAGGAGGAACACCGGUGGCGAAGGCGGGUCUCUGGGCAACAACUGACGCUGAGGAGCGAAAGCGUGGGGAGGCGAACAGGAAU